GAUGAACGCUGGCGGCGUGCCUAAUACAUGCAAGUCGAGCGAACAGACGAGGAGCUUGCUCCUCUGACGUUAGCGGCGGACGGGUGAGUAACACGUGGAUAACCGACCUAUAAGACUGGGAUAACUUCGGGAAACCGGAGCUAAUACCGGAUAAUAUAUUGAACCGCAUGGUUCAAUAGUGAAAGACGGUUUUGCUGUCACUUAUAGAUUGAUCCGCGCAGCAUUAGCUAGUUGGUAAGGUAACGGCUUACCAAGGCAACGAUGCGUAGCCGACCUGAGAGGGUGACCGGCCACACUGGAACUGAGACACGGUCCAGACUCCUACGGGAGGCAGCAGUAGGGAAUCUUACGCAAUGGGCGAAAGCCUGACGGAGCAACGCCGCGUGAGUGAUGAAGGUCUUCGGAUCGUAAAACUCUGUUAUUAGGGAAGAACAAAUGUGUAAGUAACUAUGCACGUCUUGACGGUACCUAAUCAGAAAGCCACGGCUAACUACGUG
rnacentral:rRNA from 1 species